rnacentral:rRNA from 1 species
GAGGGAGGUCGUUCAAUACUGCAGAACUUGAGGGCAGCAGAGGGGGGUGGAAUUUCCCGGUGUAGUGGGUGAAAUGGCGUAGAUAUCGGAAGGAACCCCCAGUGGCGAAGGCGGCCCCCUGGGCUGCUCCAUGACGCUGAAUGCGAAAGCUAGGGGAGCCGAACGGGAUUAGAAACCCCGGUAGUCCUAGCCGUAAACGAUGGAUACUAGGCGUAGAGGGUCCAAUAAAUCCCCUCUGUGCCGAAGCUAACGCGUUAAGUAUCCCCGCCUGGGGACUACGGUCGCAAGGCUAAAACUCAAAGGAAUUGACGGGGACCCGCACAAGCAGCGGAGCGUGUGGCUUAAUUCGAUGCAACGCGAAGAACCUUACCAGGGCUUGACAUGCAGGUAGUAGUGAAGCGAAAGCGGAACGAUCCUUCGGGAAGCCUGCACAGGUGCUGCAUGGCUGUCGUCAGCUCGUGCCGUGAGGUGUUAGGUUAAGUCCUGUAACGAGCGCAACCCUCGCCGCUAGUUAUAUGUGUCUAGCGGGACUGCCCGGCUCAACUGGGAGGAAGGUGGGGACGACGUCAAGUCAGCAUGGCCUUUAUGUCCUGGGCGACACACACGCUACGAUGGCCGGUACAAUGGGUAGCCAAGCC